ACGGGUGAGGAACACGUAGGAAUCUACCCAGAAGAGGGGGAUAACCAAGGGAAACUUUGGCUAAUACCGCAUAAUCUCGAGAGAGAAAAGCUGCCCGCAAGGGUGGCGCUUUUGGAGGAGCCUGCGUCCGAUUAGCUAGUUGGUAGGGUAAAGGCCUACCAAGGCGAUGAUCGGUAACUGGUCUGAGAGGACGACCAGUCACACUGGGACUGAGACACGGCCCAGACUCCUACGGGAGGCAGCAGUGGGGAAUAUUGGACAAUGGGGGAAACCCUGAUCCAGCGAUGCCGCGUGAGUGAAGAAGGCCUUCGGGUCGUAAAGCUCUUUAGGUUGGGAAGAAGGUUGUUAGGGUAAUAUCCUAGCAAUUUGACGGUACCGACAGAAUAAGCACCGGCAAACUCUGUGCCAGCAGCCGCGGUAAUACAGAGGGUGCGAGCGUUAAUCGGAUUUACUGGGCGUAAAGGGUGCGUAGGCGGUUCUAUGAGUGUGAUGUGAAAGCCCUGGGCUCAACCUAGGAAGUGCAUCGCAAACGAUAGAACUGGAGUAUGUGAGAGGGUGGCGGAAUUUCCGGUGUA
rnacentral:rRNA from 1 species